ensembl:lncRNA
AUGGCGGCUUUCAUCAAGACCCUGGCAAAUCUGCUUCCUCUUCCUCCCACCUCUCAGGAAGCCUGCUUAAAAGCAGUUGAGUUGACAAGUCAGAAGAGAAGACGAGUCAGGCAGCAGCCAAGUCUCCCUGGCAGCUCCCGAGGGGCUCGCAGCCGCACGGCUGUCUAUACCUGUAAGAACACCACAUACUCUCCAAUGGGUUUUUUUUUUCGUUUUGUUUUGUUUCUUAAAAGAAGGGCUUAAACAAGCCCCCGCACAUCCUCUUCUUAAAUGGCAUAAAAUUAUAAAUGGAUAAACUUCCCUUGGGGGACAUGUUGGUGGAGUCUCUUCUGUACUAUUCAUAUCAGGACCGUUUUUCUAAGUUGGGAAGUGGCCUCUGCCAUAUAUAGAUGUACACACACAGAUAUUCUAAUAUUUUAUGUACAUGUACUGUAUCACCUGACUACACACACUGGGCAUUGUGGAAGAUAUUGGGGAAACGAAACGGAGUAAGAUUCAACUCCUGCCUUUAAGUGGCUGCUAGUUCCUGGGCUGUGGAUUAAGAGACCACGAAAGUAGAUGGGAGCUGCUAGUGAAGAAAGUUCUGAGGGUCAUACAGGGCACCGUGGGAGCACAGAGGACAGGAGAGGGUGUCCCCCUGCCCUGGAAGGGAGCCUGGGGGAAGUGGCAUCUAAGAAGCAAGAGCAUGAGAAUCAGGACACAGACAGGUGCGGGGCUUGGGGCAGGAGGAGAGAGAGAGGGUUAUUGUAGAAGAGGCAGUCUGUCCAAAGCUCAGAGACAAGAAGCACAUUGCUCCGGGGAGACCUGGAAAUACCUUGAUUGGUUUUCAAUGUAUCACUCUUUCUAAAUAGGGGCGAUACUGACUCUGGGAACUUUGUGGUUAAGUGUGUAUGGAAGGCAAUGGGAUGAUGCUAUCAGCCAGCAACUUGAUGGCAUUUGGCAAUCUGCAAAUGCUUUUGCUGCUAAUACCCCGCCGGGGUCUCCCAACCAGGAGGGGUGUGUGUGUGUGUGUGUGUGUGUGUGUGUGUGUGUGUGUUUGUGUGUGUGUGUGUGUGUCUGAUCUUGUUCUAGUUCUAGCUUUACGCCUGGGAAAACCAAGGCUUCGAAGAGGGCCGUGUCCUUUCUGAGCUUACAAGUGGGUUGCCUCACACUUUAUAUUGUUUUUUAAUUGCUGCACAACAAAUGAGCACACAUUUAGCAGCUGUAAACAACACACGUUUUUUUGUCUUCACGGUUUCCGGUGGCUCAGGAGGCUGGGGCACAGCUUAGCUGGGUUCUCUGCUUCAGGAUCUCACCAGGCUGCAAUCCAUGGGCCGACUGGGCUGCACUCUCAUCUGAAGGUCUGACUGGAGAAAGAUCUACUUCCAAGCUCUCGGAGUUGUUGACAGAGUUCAUUUUCUUGAAAUGGCAGGAGUCACAGUAGCUGGCUGGUUUGAAGUCAGCAAGGAGAACAACACCCUACAGGGGAAUCUGCUGGCAAGACAGAGUUCUAUGUGACGUAACAUGUAACACGGUGGUAUCCAUCCCCUUUGCCAUGUUUCGUUGGUAGGAAGAGGUCCCGCCCAUAUUCAAGGGGGAGGAUAUUACACGAAGGCAUGAGCGCCAGGAGGCGGGGGUGGUGGGACUUCCUUCAAGCCUGUCCCCACACACUUGUAGCCUUUGCCCACCGGUGCUCCCUCCCCUGGCUCUGACAAGUCCCUCCUACCCUCCAAACCACGGCUCAGAUGUGUCCCGCUUCCCUUGGGAGGCCUCCCGGAAUGCCUCUUGCUCCUUCCACAUGCUGCUGCCCUCCUCUCCCCGCCUGGACCGCAGCGGUCACUGUGAGGUAUUGAACCCUCACCCCUGAUUUGCAAGCCUCUUUCCCUCCAGGUGGGAACCAGAACUCCCCACUUUUGCAUCCUUGGCGCCCGAUGCAUCGUGGGUGCUCAGCAAGUAUUUAUAAGGAAUCAAACUGAUGAAUGGAGCGAUGUGCUUCGAGCCCCGAGUCUAUUCAGGAACUUGAGCGCAACUCCGGGCCUCAUUCCAUCAUACCUCUCCAUUUUCUCAAUAACCCAAGACUGAAACCAAAUUAGCACUGUGCAUAUUCCUGUUGGAAGCAAUUCGGUUUAAAGGACCAGCUCCCCCUAGGACAGAUGGAUGCUAACACACAGCAUUUUAAUCAGGUUUUUUCAAUUUUCCAAAGCGCUAUCAUAUUCAAUAUUCCCACUAAUUCCUUCCAUAUCCAAUUGGGCUUGGUCUCCUUACAUACACUGUAAGUAACUGGGGUUUGGAGAGAUGAGCUAAUUUGCUUAAAACUCUGCAGACCGGGGCACCGGGUGGCUCAGUCAGUUGAGCGUCUGACUUAGGUUCAGGUAAUGAUCUUGCGGUUUGUGAGCUCAAGCCCCGCGUCAGGCUCUGUGCUGACAGUUCAGAGCCUGGAGCCUACUUUGGCUUUUGUGUCUCCCUCUCUCUCUGCCCCUCCCUAUUCUCUCUCUCUCAAAAAUAAACAUUAAAAAAAUAAAAAAAAAACCCUAUGC